rnacentral:rRNA from 1 species
CGUAGGUAACCUGCCCAAGAGAUCGGGAUAACACCUGGAAACAGAUGCUAAUACCGGAUAACAACGGAUGAUGCCUAUCAACUGUUUAAAAGAUGGUUCUGCUAUCACUCUUGGAUGGACCUGCGGUGCAUUAGCUAGUUGGUAGGGUAACGGCCUACCAAGGCGAUGAUGCAUAGCCGAGUUGAGAGACUGAUCGGCCACAUUGGGACUGAGACACGGCCCAAACUCCUACGGGAGGCAGCAGAG